rnacentral:rRNA from 1 species
ACGUAGGUGGCAAGCGUUAUCCGGAAUUAUUGGGCGUAAAGAGCGCGCAGGUGGUUAAUUAAGUCUGAUGUGAAAGCCCACGGCUUAACCGUGGAGGGUCAUUGGAAACUGGUUGACUUGAGUGCAGAAGAGGGAAGUGGAAUUCCAUGUGUAGCGGUGAAAUGCGUAGAGAUAUGGAGGAACACCAGUGGCGAAGGCGGCUUCCUGGUCUGCAACUGACACUGAGGCGCGAAAGCGUGGGGAGCAAACAGGAUUAGAUACCCUGGUAGUCCACGCCGUAAACGAUGAGUGCUAAGUGUUGGGGGUCGAACCUCAGUGCUGAAGUUAACGCAUUAAGCACUCCGCCUGGGGAGUACGGUCGCAAGACUG